rnacentral:rRNA from 1 species
AGCGAACGCUGGCGGCAGGCCUAACACAUGCAAGUCGAACGAACUCUUCGGAGUUAGUGGCGGACGGGUGAGUAACACGUGGGAACGUGCCUUUAGGUUCGGAAUAACUCAGGGAAACUUGUGCUAAUACCGAAUGUGCCCUUCGGGGGACAGAUUUAUCGCCUUUAGAGCGGCCCGCGUCUGAUUAGCUUGUUGGUGGGGUAAUGGCCCACCAAGGCGACGAUCAGUAGCUGGUCUGAGAGGAUGACCAGCCACAUUGGGACUGAGACACGGCCCAAACUCCUACGGGAGGCAGCAGUGGGGAAUCUUGCGCAAUGAGCGAAAGCCUGACGCAGCCAUGCCGCGUGGAUGAUGAAGGUCUUAGGAUUGUAAAAUCCUUUCACCGGUGAAGAUAAUGACUGUAGCCGGAGAAGAAGCCCCGGCUAACUUCGUGCCAGCCGCCGCCGUAAGAC